ensembl:snRNA U6 U6 spliceosomal RNA
GGGCUCGCUUGGGUAGCACAUAUGCUAAAGUUAGAACGAUCCGGAGAAGUGGAGCAUGGCCCCUGCUCAAGGAUGACUCACGAUUUCGUGACGCGUUCCACAUUUUG